rnacentral:rRNA from 1 species
CCUACGGGGGGCAGCAAUUAGGAAUCUUGCGCAAUGGGCGAAAGCCUGACGCAGCGACGCCGCGUGACUGAUGAAGUCUUUCGGGAUGUAAAGGUCUUUUGUUGGGGACGAAGGAAGUGACGGUACCCGACGAAUAAGCCCCGGCUAACUACGUGCCAGCAGCCGCGGUAAUACGUAGGGGGCGAGCGUUGUCCGAAUUCCCUGGGCGUAAAGCGCGCGUAGGCGGGUGAUUAAGUUGUGGGUGAAAUGCCGAGGCUCAACCUCGGAACUGCCGGUAAAACUGGUUACCUAGAGGUAUGGAGAGGGAAGUGGAAUUCCAGGUGUAGCGGUGAAAUGCGUAGAUAUCUGGAGGAACACCCGUGGCGAAGGCGGCUUCCUGGCCAUAUCCUGACGCUGAUGUGCGAAAGCUAGGGUAGCGAACG